GUGCGGAGACGGGAAUCGAACCC
rnacentral:tRNA from 1 species